AAGCGCUUGACACCCUUUAAAAAAAUGUAUUUAAAGAGGCUGGUUCCUAUCCAUCCGACUGGAGGCAUCUCAGUGCAAGAGCAAAGCUAAGUCCUGCACACGCUCCUCCCCUCCUCCUCCUCCUUCUCCCCCCAGGUUUUCCCGAAUGUAUCUACUCCGGUUACAACUAGACGCGGCCCCUCCCCCACCUGCCUCCCCCCUUCCUUCCCUCGAUCGUGGAGGGAGCGUUCUCUGUGCCUUCCCAAGUCCCCGUGGGGGACCUUCUAUGUUGGAGUGGGGGGAGGGGGGGAGGGUCAUAUAACGAAGGCCAGAAAGAACAAAUUAGAUAAUCAAAAGAAUUAUAGUAAUUGCUUUCACUUUCCCCCGCCCGCUCAGCGGAUUCCCUCCCCCGCCCCUCCCCUGGUUUUUCUGUCUGUCGGGAAUACUCGGUCUUUCCGACCCCCUCCCCUCCCCCAGGUUCCUCCUCUCCUCUCCCCUUGCUCGCGCGUUCCCUCUCUUCCUCCGUUUUCUGGUGUGCUGGAACGUUCAGCGGAAUAUGAUGAAUGAUCACCUGUCACAGCUUGUUUAUUAUAAUGCAGGCAAUCAAUUACACAUCCCCAAUGCUGGCCGGCCCGCAGGAAAUUUAUAUGCUCAGCACAAACCAAUGUGAAAAUGGAAUCUCAUUUGCCAAAUGUCUUUCUCCCCGUACAGCACGAUGAUUACAGUCUGUGUUUGUUUCAACAGUCGUGUACAACUGACAGUGCCAUCAUUUACUGCCUGGCUCAGGUCACGUUACUCUAAGGCUUUAUUUAUGGUGUUACGAAGGGCAGCACAGGAAAAGGACAAGGGUGUCUGUCAGGGAUGGCACUGUGUUAAAAAGUGGGCGUGCAAGGGCCGCAUUCCCGGGCAGCCGCUGCAACCUCAGCCCCUGGGCCCUUACCUCCGCAGCCUCUCCCAGCAUCCAGCUACCCAGACUCCAAGGCCCCAGGCGAGAGCCAGCUCUCGGUACCUGGAGCUCCACAGGUCCCAGAAUCGGGGUGGAUCAGAGUUCAAAUUCUGGUUCUGCUACUGUCUAAUUGCGUGCUGCAGGGACUCAAUCUCUUCAUCUGGGAAAUGGGAGUAAUAACCCUUGGCAGGAAUGUUGCGAUCCUCUGGGAUGUCAGAGGUGUUGAUGAAUGUUAGUUCCCGGGACUUCGGAAAGAGGUCCCGUUGGAAGAGAUGUGAAUUGGAAUUCACACCCUAUAUUAAAAUCUCCUCCAAUCUUCACCUCUGAGACAUGGCUGUCUCAAGACUGUUUUGUUUCCCUUCCUGGUGGAAUUUUGCACUUUUAUGUCCUGUGUAGCAGCAGGUAGUGUGGCUUUGAGAAAAUAAAAUGGCCACCUUGCUCCGCUGUUCUUUCUUUGUAAAAAAAAAAAAAAAAAAAAAAAAACGGCAUAGCAAUCUUGGCCUUUCUAGCUGUGUGACCCCAGGCCGGUCAAUCCCUCCUCCUCUCCAAGCCUCGGAUUCCUCCCCUGAGAAGUAAAGAAAAUAACUCCUAAACUGCCUCCCGAGGCUUGCUGGCAGGAUCCAAGGUGUCCAGAGAUGUU
rnacentral:lncRNA from 1 species